CGCACCGCCGCCGCCGGAUACCUCGAUCUCCGGCCAUUGAAUUUGGACACCGCCGCCAGCAAAUGAAGCGGCUUGGAACGGCGAACAAAGCCUGAGCCCUAGCGCCACCUUCCACUGCUUCUAUUCUCCACACGUGCACCUCAAAGUCGCUGCCCACUGUUCCCUGAUUUUCUUCUUCAUAUUUCCAGUUACCAUCUCGCCAUUCCACCAUCACCGCUCGACUCAGAAUUCACCGGAGAUCGAAACCGAGAAGCCCCGCUGCCAACCCGAAGCUGGACAACGCCGUACGGGCCAUCGCGUGAGCUGGAAGCUCCCCAACUCUUCAAUCUCCAAUCUUCCGUCCAAAUUGAGCCACACCGCCACCAUAAACAAAACUGCUACUCACCAUUCAUCAAAACCAUUUGAUUCCGACCUCCAUUUCCGACCACAGCCACCGAGCCGCUGUGGAUUCCGCAAUGAGCGCUGCCACCAGUUUACUUAUUCUGUUCGGUUAGCCUAUUUUUGAAACCUCUCUGGUGGAGACAUCUAGAUUAAUACG
rnacentral:lncRNA from 1 species